rnacentral:misc_RNA from 1 species
GAUGAAGAACGUAGCGAAAUGCGAUAAGUAAUGUGAAUUGCAGAAUUCAGUGAAUCAUCGAAUCUUUGAACGCACCUUGCACCCUUUGGCAUUCCGAAGGGUAUGCUCGUUUGAGUGUCAUUGUACUCUCACACUCUCCGAUCCUAUGGAUUCGGGGAGCGGUGGACUUGGGUGUUGCUGCCUUUCCUUGUGGCUCACCUCAAAUGUGUCAGUGCACCUCUUGGUUGGACAUAGUACGGCGUGAUAAGUGUCUUCGCCGGCACCUCGCAAGAGGGUGGCCGAUCGGGAGCUCUGUGCUUUCAAACCGUCUUCGGACAAUUUCUGACAACUUGACCUCAAAUCGAGUAGGACUACCCGCUGAACUUAAGCAUAUCGAUAAGCGGAGGA